GUGGGUGUAGCUCAGUUGGUUAGAGUACCAGAUUGUGAUUCUGGGUGUCGUGGGUUCAAAUCCCAUCAUCCACCCCA
rnacentral:tRNA from 3 species